CAAGCGCCGCCCGGGGCGGUGCCCUGCCGGGGCUUCGCGGGCCCCGCCGAUGGAAAAUGGCUGAAGGCGGGAUGGGGUGGGCGGUGUGGAGAAAGAACACAGAGAAUGACUCCCACCAGACAACCCUGUGGAAGGAGAAACUGCUCCCAAGUUUCUGGAAAAAUCUCCAAACAGACAGAGCCUAAAAAGUGAGAUGCUGGCAACUGAACUUCAUCCUGUGCAUCUACAACCUUCAAGAGAAACAGGAAUUAGAAAGAUUUAGGACAAACAGGGAGCAGUUUUCCAGUUCAAAUGUGGGAGCUGGAGGAAACGGAGAUGUGCCCUGGAUGAAAAUCAAGGAUCUCAGAGAAGGAUAUACUGCUUGAACUCAGUAGCAGAGAACAAACUUUGCAAAAGGUACAUGGAGGGUUUUUGUAGUAGACUAAAUCUUGUACUGGAAUUCAGCAGACCACGGGCCAUUUCCAAUCCAAAAUCUACUCAGUUAACAUGUGCAUGACACUGA